UACAGAGGGUGCAAGCGUUAAUCGGAAUUACUGGGCGUAAAGCGUGCGUAGACGGUUAUGUAAGUCGGGUGUGAAAGCCCCGGGCUCAACCUGGGAAUUGCAUUCGAAACUGUGUAGCUAGGGUACGGAAGAGGGAAGCGGAAUUUCAGGUGUAGCGGUGAAAUGCGUAGAUAUCUGAAGGAACACCAGUGGCGAAAGCGGCUUCCUGGUCCAGUACCGACGUCAGGCACGAAAGCGUGGGGAGCAAACAGG
rnacentral:rRNA from 1 species